rnacentral:lncRNA from 1 species
AGGGGAACAACACAUUGCUCUUCUCUAUCUUUUGCUGAGACAUCUCUCCAACAUCAGUUUAUAUUGAAAACUGGUUCCAUGUUUAGGCCAACGCACUAGAAUACAUGGCAGAGUAAACAUUUUACCAUACAAGUUAACACGGCAGAUGAGUUAGGCAUUGGAAACAGAUCACACAGACCCUUCAAACACAAUCUAGUAAAUCCUGCUGCCAGCCUGCAGUCCUGUGCUUGUCAUCCCUUCUUCAGCUUCAGCAUCACAAUGGCAGGCAAUAAUAGAGCCAAUGUCAGAACACAGCACCCCACAGAGAGGAGAGCUCCCCAGAGGUUGAGUAAAAGAAGGAUGUACGUCAAUGUCUUGGCAAGAUGUGCUAUAGAGAAUGGCAAGUGUGGGACAGAUGUGCAAGUAGGCAUCUGGAUGAGGAAGUUGUGAAUGUGGGACUGAAGUAGAAGUGAGCACCCAGAGUGGCACAAGGAGGGGAUUCUUCUCCCUGAGAGUAAAGAGAGUACUGGGGCAGCAAGAUGGAACAUUGAGGCAUCGGGACCCAGAGCAGUGGGCAGAUUCUUAGAAACAGGCGAGUAUUUGAAGAUAAGAGAAGUGUGAGCUUGAGUUCUGAGACAGGCAGCAAUAAGGUAAGCUACCUUGCUGUUCAGUUUGAAUCACUUCUUUGGAAAAUCAGGUUCCAUGAUGUAUUUUCAAGAUUGAAAAUUCAAUCAGCUUUGCUGUCUGACUUCAUUUGACCUGGCAGAAAAGAGGA